rnacentral:precursor_RNA from 11 species
UGUUUGUGUGUGUGUACACAGCCCCCCAGUGCUGAGUCUAGUGGAUGAUGUGCUAGACAUUUUAGCUUGAAUUCUUGGUUGCAUAGCACCACGGGAUUCAGCCGCUGGUGUGUCGUGGUUUUAUAUUUUAUUCAU